rnacentral:lncRNA from 1 species
GGACAGACUUUGACUUCUGGCCCAGAGUGAAGAUGUGAGUACAGCUUUAGAAAAGGGUCAGGGUCAGCGAUGAAAAGGAGGUGGCAAAGGGCUGGGACUCACAGUGGUUUUUUCCAGGCAGUGCAGCAGGUGAUGAUGCUGGCUCUCGAUGAGUGAGGUGGUCUUGCCCAUGUGCUCCUCUUCUGGGGUGCCCUAGUAAAAAAAGAAGAGAGAUUGAGUAAAAAGCUGGUGGCUCUUCCCCUCUCCAGCUCCUUCAUUUCUCCACUAAAGGUCAAAGGGCAAUAGAAUAAUCAAUUUUUUUUUAAUUUGACCAGAUCCUGUAGCUCUGGAGUGAGAUGUGAGAAUCUGCAUUCUAAGUUCCUAGGCAUCACUGAUGUUGGUGAUCUGGGGACCACUGCUUUAAAUCAUCCUCUUUCCAUAGGUCACAGAUCUGUAGACUCAUAGCAUGUCAGCGGAAAGGGGUCAUGGUAACCAGCUUCAGACCAGUCAUGCGUACAUGAGGAAACAGACAAAGUCAG